CCCGCACCCCACGAUUUCUUCCCACCAACCCCGACCUGCCUCCUCCUCCUCCGGCGCACCCCACCUCCAUCUGCCACGAUUCCCCUUCCCCCGAUCCCCUUUCUGCCUCACUAGCGCCGCCCUCCAUCGAUCCACCUUCUUCCCCGGUCCGCGCCACCCUCCCCCCAUCCACCUUCUUCCCCGCCUGUACCUCCCUCCCCCAAUCCACCUUGUUCCCACGACCUCCCCCGAUCCACCUUCUUCCCCCCUCGGCGCCGCCCCACCCAUAUUCGGCUUCUUCCCCCGACGGCGCCGCACUUGGCCGCACCUUUCCCUUAGCCUGGUCUCGCAUCGCCCCUGCCCGGUGUCACCCAUCCCCCACCCCUGGAUCCGCAGCUCAUCCUCCAUCUGGAUCAAGCCGGCGCCGCCGGACCACUUCUCUUGGCCUACCUCCCCUCCGCUUCUGCCACGGGGACGGCGACCGGCCGUAGCAACGACGGGCUCUGCCUAUCUGGCUUUCCAUCUGCAGCCGAGGCACACCUCCUCCCCUGCGCAGCCGAGGUGCUCCCUUCCUCCACCCUGCUUCCUCGUCGCUGCAGAAUUGACAAAGCACCAGGUAGCCGUGGAGUUUUCUACUUUGUUGAAUUCCUUCCUAGUUCCUUUCUUGCAGUGCAGUCGCUCCGCCCCCUGUUUCCAUCCCUGCACCGCGUCGCCCAGGCUUCCUACAUCGUGCCCAACGACGGGGUCCUGGCCACAUCCUUGCCGCCGGUUUCUUCCUCGAGCGUGUUGGCCAUGGGAUCCGACCGGCCCCUUCUUGGCUCCCCUCAUCCUCGUCCUCGAAUCGCGCAGCGGCCUCCACCUCACCUAUGAUCCCUCCGCCGACGAGGGGUUCCUACACCAACGGCCUCCCAGAGCGCUGAAAGAAAACCAUGAAGUUCGUCCCGCACAUCCAGUGCAUCUCUUUCGAAGCUCCCGUGCAGUGCGCAUGUGUGUUGCAGUGCAGUGCGUGACGGCAAGAAAAGGGAGCUUGUCAGCGACGAGGGACGCAUCGGCGGCGCUGUGCAGUUUGCCGGCGCAUUCCGCGGAUGCAUGCGAGGGGAGUCAAAUGGGGGCACCGAUGCCCCAUGGAAGAGCAGUAGCGGCGCUUUGCAGUUUAGAACAAUGUUCGCUACUGUGAUGCGUGGUGUUUGAUUUCAUUUUUCAAACUUGCUCACCGGGUUCCUAACAGGAGGACCACACUAAGACGUUUCUGCAGCACACCCACUUGCAGUUCAGUCGGCGAGAGGGUUGAGGGCCACCAGGAGGCAGACGGCGAGCCAGCCGCAGCGUUCACUACUGCUCGGCGGCAACGAUUUAUGCAUCAGUGUGGCCUUGAAGUUCACCGGCGAUCCACUAGCGGUUGGAGCAGCAAGGGCAUGCAGUCCACUAUUUCCUUUUUUUGUUUGUCUUUUGACGUGGUCUUGGCCGAGGACACAGUGCCUUUUCUUUUGCAGUCAUUUGCUUGUAUUAGCACAAACUAGGAUUCACUAAUAUGGUCAGUUUUGGUUUA